GUUCCAAAACGCGAAGGCAUAAUAAUCGAAGGUGUAAUAUACAACAUUACGACAACACCCGAGAUGCAUAAAAGAAUACGAAAUGGUAAGUUAAGUAGUAGAGUAUUUCAUUAAACUAAUUUCAUUAAACAGCUCGUUGAGCUCGUUGAGCUUCCAUUUUAUUCGUUGCUAAUACUACUUUUUCAACGUUCCAAAUCGUUCAACCAGAGUAACUUACUCUGGGCUUACUCUCUCCCCACUAUCUUGGGUUCUUUAGAGUUGACGGAGUAGAGUUUUGGAACGUACCCCAGGAGCCAUAGGCAGAAUGCAGAAGCCAUAGCGCAUGCGCUGUGGUAUUACUUUAUCUGCCUAUGGCAGAAUGGCAGAUAUCAUAGCGCAUGCGCUAUGGUUUCUGUAUUCUGCCCAUGGCUUCUGGAUUUUCAAUCUACAUAAAAAUACAUAAUGCAUAGCCACGGGCAUAGGCACAUACAUUCUCAUUGUAGCCGGUCCUAAAGAAAAGUGAUUAAGAACAAAGAACGGAUUUAUAUUGAUUAACACCAGCAGCAACGCGCGGCUCAGGACAGUUUGAAAAACAUAGACAACGAGUCCGAUGCACCUAAAAUACCGAACAGAUUAUCAAAGAUUGGUAUUCGGAUGACGAGGACGAUGAUGAUGAUGAUGACGAGGGAAGUAAUCUUACUAUAGUGGAUAGUUCGAAAGACAAAAUCGAGCCUAUCGAGAAGACGCAAAACCUCGUUAUCAAGGAGGAGUUCCAGCCUGCGACAUCCGUGUCCAACGUACCCCAGCCGGCCGCUAUUUUGGACAAAUUAGGUGACCUGAGCAAAAUUGAUAUCAGUGCCGAAGUAUCCAAAUUGCUUUCUACUCUGAAGGCUCAGAGCUCCGCGACCAACAAGACGCAAGCAAACUCGAAUCAAGACGCGUCGAAACCUAAAUCGGCACAAGAUCCGAAGACGGAUAGCGAGACGUCGUCGAGUCCGAGGCGAUCACCAGAAAUUGUAAUUUAUUGCAAAAUAAACGCAUCUUCUCAUAAUUUUCGGAGGAGUUCCAGCCUGCGACAUCCGUGUCCAACGUACCCCAGCCGGCCGCUAUUGUGAACAAAUUAGGUGAACUGAGCAAAAUUGAUAUCAGUGCCGAAGUAUCCGAAGACAGUGCAUCUGUCGAACUUCGUUAUCUGUCCAGUUUUUAAUUUUUAU